ensembl:lncRNA
AUACAUAUACAUUUGAAUUGAUUAUCACAAUCAAGCUAAUUAACAUCCAUCACCUUACACACUUCUAAUUUUUAUUUUGUGAUGAGAACAUUUAGGGUAAGAACACUUCUUAGCAAAUUUGAAGUAUACAAUAUAGUAUUAUUAACUAUAGCCAUCAUUCUAUGCAUUAGAUCUUCCGAAUUUAUCCUGCAUAACUCACAUUUUCUACCCUUUGGUCAACAUCUCACAAUUGAUUUUUGUAUUUUGAUCUUGUAUUGUGCAACCUUUCUGACCUUGUUCAUUACUUCUACUAGUGUUUUUGUGGAUUCCUUAGGUUUUUCUAUUUAUAAGAUCAUGUCGUUUGUGAAUAGACGUAGUUUUACUUCUCUUUCAAUCUGGAUGCCUUUUUUUUUUUUCCCUUGCCUAACUGCCCUGGUAGAACCUCUUUUCCUGACCAUGGCCAUCUGAUUAUCUUCACUAAUUGCGACUGCUGUAUCACUUCCAACAAUACGUUGGGGCAUACAUUGCUUUACAGACUGAUCCAAUUAAAUUUAGGCUCAUUUGCAGGGAUAGUUUUGUUUUUUUUAAAGAUCGGCAUCUGAGCUAACAACCGUUGCCAAUCUUUUUUUUUUUUUUUCUGCUUUAUCUCCCCAAACCCCCCAGUACAUAGUUGUAUAUCUUAGUUGCAGGUCCUUCUAGUUAUGGGACGUGGGAUGCCACCUCAACGUGGCCUGACGAGCGGUGCCAUGUCUGCGCCCAGGAUCCGAACCCUGGGCCAUUGCAGCAGAGCGCGUGAACUUAACCACUCAGCCACGGAGCCAGCCCCCGGAUAGUUUUUGAGACCCAGUGCCUGGAGUCUCCUUCCAUUAGAACCAGAGGACCUGGAAUGAGGGCAGGGGGAGCCCAGAAGUUCUGACAGAGCCAGAUGCAGAAUAGUGGACUGUGUCCCAAGGAAGGCAGUUUUCUCAAGAAGACUUUGAUAAAGACGACCCCAAAUCCAUCAGCCUGAUCUACUGUGGAGAAGUGGAUUUCCCCCUCCAGCAAAUAAGAGCUGGAAAACAAUAAGCCAAGGGUUCUGUAAUCCUUGAGACAACAAUAAAGAUGAAGUCUGCACUGAAAGAAUCUACUGGGGAGAAGAGAGAAAGUAACUGGGGGAGCCCAGUCCCAGCUCCACAGGGCCAACAGCUCCUCCUGCAUGUUACAGAGUCAGCUCUUUAUCUCCUGUCCUCGUCUGCUUUUCUCCAUUGAAGACUUGCUCCUGACAUGUCCGUCCAGCUCCUUCAUCUUGACCUUUGUCACCACUGACCCUCUCAACCCCUGCAACGUUCCCCUCUGUGCAUUUCCAUGCCAUAUCAGGACUCUGUUCCCUAGAUGAGAUCCAGUUUUGAAGCAUGAUCCUUUUGCGCCACCCCAACUGUCCCUGCUAAGAGUACCCACCAUUAUGCCGUCCCUUCAGUAUCUCCACACAUACUUAAGUAUCCUCCUCAUGCGAGGUUGGUGCACUUCAAGGAAGUUUCCCACUCGUUCACGAGAAAUGGGCAACCCCGUGUCAGAGGCGCAGGGUGUAGUGGCUGCAGGAGCUUCACGUGCUCAGCUUCCCUCUCAGCAGCCACUUCUCACUGGGGAUCCACGUGAGUGAGUCACACAGGAAGAAGUGCAAGAUUGAAGUGAGCCAUGCAAACAGAGACCCUGAGUGCAGCCCUAGCAGGAAGAUCCUGGGGGUUUCUAGGAGGGGUGCUGACUGAGCCCCGUCUGUGGAAGGCAUCAGAGAACACUGGGGUGAUAUUGGAGUAGUGCUCUUUUCUGGGGGGAGAUAGGUCCUGCAGGGGGAGCAGCAACUGACUGGAAUCAAGAUGCGACAAGGAAGAUUUAGAAGAAGGUGACUGGAGGAGAAAGUGACUGGAGUAUUCACUCGAGCAAUGAACACAUCUUAGAGAACAAAGUAAAAUGCUGCUUUCCAUGUCACUUAGACAAAACUCAUGACAUGGAGACAAUCCAAACCCCAGGAAGCAAAUUUGUGAGGCUUUUACUUCCAGCUGUUAGAUGAGGAACAACAGGAGUGUGUGUCCCCGCCCGAAUUUGUGUUGUACAUAUUUAGAAUGGACUUCUCUAAUACAGGAGGACAAAAUCAACUAUAGCCAUUUGAUCAUUUGAGGACACUUUGGACAAUUUUUAGGUGAAAUAUCCAUAUGUAUUCUUCAAGAGGAAUGUGGGCUUACAGUGGCUGAAAGUUUUGCAUGGUAUCUUAACAUCCAUGGUUCAUUACAUACUGUUUAUGG